ACACGGCUGCCUCCACUUCGCCGGAACUCUCUCCUCCGGCCACCAAAACCGACGCCGCUACCGCCAAAAGGAAGCUCUCUCCAAAGGGAGCCGAUCGCCACCAAGAUCGGCCGGAAACAGCCGGAACGACGCUCGGAAGCCGCUGCCACACGUCGCGCGAUUCCGCCGCCUGCCGACGCUGCCAGCUGCCUCCACCGCCACCAUCGUGCUCGUCGUUGCCGCGCGCUCCUUUCGACGUCAACACCGCCCUCAGCCUGGCCUCCAGCGUCCGUCCACCAUGGACGCCGACGCCUCUCUCUCUCCUCCCUUUCUUCUUCUUCCUUCUUUC
rnacentral:lncRNA from 1 species